UACGUAGGGUGCGAGCGUUUAAUCGGAAUUACUGGGCGUAAAGCGUGCGCAGGCGGUUUUCCAAGACAGAUGUGAAAUCCCCGGGCUCAACCUGGGAAUGGCAUUUGUGACUGGAAGGCUAGAGUGUGUCAGAGGGGGGUAGAAUUCCACGUGUAGCAGUGAAAUGCGUAGAGAUGUGGAGGAAUACCGAUGGCGAAGGCAGCCCCCUGGGAUAACACUGACGCUCAUGCACGAAAGCGUGGGGAGCAAACAGG
rnacentral:rRNA from 1 species